UUGUAGUAGAAUAUUUUAGGGGGAAGAGUUUUAACCUAGAAAAGGAGUUCCUCAAGAUAGGAGGAGGUUGGUUGCAGUGUGGGGUAGGAGCAGGCCGAGGUGAAAAAUGAAGAACUGGACGACAAUCUGGGUCUGGCAGUUCUUCAUUGAAGUUGUCUCUACAGUUCAAGUUUACAAGGGAUGGCCUGAGAGGCUGGGGUAAAGACAUCACCAACUACCGAAGUCUCUUAAAGUGACAGUCAUCAACAAAGUUCUACAGCGUGGCUGUAAAACCAACAUAACAUACAUGAACA